UAAUUACAACGGCAGGUUCUUGGACCGUCAGGCCCAAGACGCCAUGUCUUUCGUCUGUCAAGUCGCGAGGUGCGUGGACGUCAACCCGUAUUAGCCCUUCUGGUCGAUAGUAGUGUUCGGAAAAUCUUCAUUGUGACCGGCCUAAAGUACCGUGCU